CAGUAGCCACGGUAAUACGUAGGGUGCAAGCGUUAAUCGGAAUUACUGGGCGUAAAGCGUGCGCAGGCGGUUUGUUAAGACAGAUGUGAAAUCCCCGGGCUCAACCUGGGAACUGCAUUUGUGACUGGCAAGCUAGAGUCUGGCAGAGGGGGGUGGAAUUCCGCGUGUAGCAGUGAAAUUCGUAGAUAUUCGGAAGAACACCAGUGGCGAAGGCGACUGACUGGACAAGUAUUGACGCUGAGGUGCGAAAGCGUGGGGAGCAAACAGGAUUAGAUACCCGGGUAGUCCCUGUCUCUUAUAC
rnacentral:rRNA from 1 species